GCGUCCGUUUCUCCAGACUUUCCACUUUUGGCAAGCUAUGUUCCCUGGCUUGUGUCCAGUCUACAAAAGGUCUUAAAACCACGGAGCAGGGCUUUAAGCGUUUAGGAUCUCGCUUUUUGCAGGCUUUUGACAAGAAGGCUCAGAUCUCCACUAACCAGUGGCCACAUUUUACCAUCAUGAUCAUUGAGUAGCUCACAACCAAACCGUUUGCUUUAUCACAGCAAGAAGAGUGAGGAGAGCCAAAAAUGUCACAGAAGCUUUUACCUGCCCUUCUUGAGAUGAAAAAGACGGUCAUUUUGAAAUGAACAGCUGUCACUAUUGUAUGACAACCCAAAUAC
ensembl:lncRNA